rnacentral:rRNA from 1 species
UACGGGGGGAGCAAGCGUUGUUCGGAUUUACUGGGCGUAAAGGGCGCGUAGGCGGUCGUGACAAGUCACUUGUGAAAUCUCCGGGCUUAACUCGGAACGGUCAAGUGAUACUGUCGGACUAGAGUACAGAAGGGGCAACUGGGAUUCUCGGUGUAGCGGUGAAAUGCGUAGAUAUCGAGAGGAACACCUGCGGCGAAGGCGGGUUGCUGGGCUGAUACUGACGCUGAGGCGCGAAAGCCAGGGGAGCGAACGGG